rnacentral:rRNA from 1 species
UAUUAUACUAAUGAAUAUUAUAAAAAUCUUAAUUAUUAAUAGAUAUAUUCUUUAAAUUUGAAGAAUUUGGCGGUAAUUUAGUCUCGUUAGAGGAACCUGUUUUUGAAUCGAUACACCACGUAAAAUCUUACUCAUUAUAAGAAGCUUAUAUACCAUCAUUAGCAGAUAAUUUUUAAAAAAUUAAUUAUUAAAGUUUAAAGAAAAGUUAAUUAAAAUUAGAUCAAGGUGUAGCCUAUAAAUGAGUUAAAAUGGGUUACAAUAAAAUUUAUUUAUAUGGAGCGAGUACCAUAAAUCGGUUUUGUGAAGGAGGAUUUAAUUGUAAUAUAAGUUUAAUAAGCUAAAAAGAUAUAAGCUCUAAAUUAC